AAAUUGAGAAGCUUAACACAAAGGAUGGGCGAACGACGGGAAUUGAACCCGCGCAUGGUGGAUUCACAAUCCACUGCCUUGAUCCAC
rnacentral:tRNA from 1 species